rnacentral:rRNA from 1 species
GUGCCAGCAGCCGCGGUGAUACGGAGGGUGCAGGCGUUAUCCGGAUUCACUGGGUUUAAAGGGUGCGUAGGCGGGCUUGUAAGUCCGUGGUGAAAUCUCUGAGCUUAACUCGGAAACUGCCAUGGAUACUAUGGGUCUUGAAUACUCGGGAGGUGAGCGGAAUAUGUCAUGUAGCGGUGAAAUGCUUAGAUAUGACAUAGAACACCAAUUGCGAAGGCAGCUUGCUACAGAGUUAUUGACGCUGAGGCACGAAAGCGUGGGGAUCAAACAGGAUUAGAUACCCUGGUAGUCCACGCCCUAAACUAUGGAUACUCGACGUUGGCGAUAUGACUGUCAGCGUCUGAGCGAAAGCAUUAAGUAUCCCACCUGGGAAGUACGACCGCAAGGUUGAAACUCAAAGGAAUUGGCGGGGGUCCGCACAAGCGGUGGAGCAUGUGGUUUAAUUCGAUGAUACGCGGGGAACCUUACCUGGGCUAGAAUGCUAAGUGACCACGGGUGAAAAGCUCGUUUUAUAGCAAUAUACACUUAGUAAGGUGCUGCAUGGCGCCGCUCUCAGCACCCGUGCCGGUGAGGUGUUGGGGUUAAGUCCCGCAACGAGCGCAACCCCCAUCAGUAGUUGCCAUCAGGUAACGCUGGGAACUCUACUGAAACUGCCGUCGUAAGACGCGAGGAAGGAGGGGAUGAUGUCAGUCAUCAUGGCCUUUAUGCCCAGGCUACACACGUGCUACAAUGGGAGGGACAAAGGGCUGCCACUUAGCGAUAGCGCCAUCCCAAAACCCUCUCUCAGUUCGG